rnacentral:rRNA from 1 species
GGCCACAGCCAUAUCACCCUGCAGCCCAAGACUGGUUGCCCACUGAAGCUAAGCAGGGUUGAGCCUGGACAGUACCUGGAUGGGAGACCUCCUAGAAAAAAUAGGUUGCUGUUGGAA